AAGUUCACCAGCAGUUUAGCAACUGAACUUAAACUUGGUUUUGUUGAAAGAUAAAGGCUUAUUUUUGUCCUCUCCUUUAUUUUGUGUUUAUAUAGAGCUGAGCACAACUUGACUUUGUCUGUAGCUGGUCUCCACUGAUAUCACAGAAUCACUUCUCUUCUCCAGAGCAGCAGGGAGGAACUUGACUCAGAGCAAGGGCAGUGGAAGGAAAGAACAAAGAAGGUGGAGAAGAUGGAGUCCUUUUAUACCUGAAUUCAGGGGGCAGGUGGGAAUAUGCUGAAGCAGAAGCACCAAAGUGAGAAGAAGGUCUUCUAAGGUAUUUCAAAUCAAAGGAAAGUAAACCAAGACAGAACAGAUGCUUGAAAUACAGAAUAAUCUUCAGUGUGUAUCCCAAAGAUAAGAGUGAGGAAUCUCAAA
rnacentral:lncRNA from 1 species